rnacentral:rRNA from 1 species
UACGUAGGGCGCGAGCGUUGUCCGGAAUUAUUGGGCGUAAAGAGCGCGCAGGCGGUAUGACAAGUCAGAUGUGAAAGAGGCCGGCUUAACCGGCAAGGGUCAUUUGAAACUGUCAGACUAGAGUGCAGCAGAGGAUAGUGGAAUUCCCGGUGUAGUGGUGAAAUGCGUAGAUAUCGGGAGGAACACCAGUGGCGAAGGCGACUAUCUGGGCUGCAACUGACGCUGAGGCGCGAAGGCUAGGGUAGCAAACAGG